CAUUGCUGUGAAUAAAGACAGCAGACAGACUGUGAAAGGACCCCUGCUGCAGAGAAGAGUGCCGACAUACGAUGCCCUGAUGCAAGCACAAUGUUGUAAGACAACGAUUAUUUAGGCACAUCCUUGUGGCAGAUUUAAGCACAUUCAGCCACAUCAAGUGAUUUGCAGCUGGAGAUGAGGAAAUAUAUCACAAACUCUUUUUUUUUUCUUCCAAGAAAUGUAAUAAAAAUAUAUCUUGUGCAGCCAUAGCACAGCUGGUAGAAUCAUAAAAAUGUCACACAUGUGAGGAGAAUGAGUCUGUGUGCAGGUUUACUUCUGACAUUUUGAAAUGGUUAUUUAAAAAUUAAGUUUUAACAGUGUUUACAUGUCUAUCUAUUGAUUUUAAUAUGGUUACAGACGAACCAGGUGCAAAUUCACCAGGCAACAUUUAUUCCUUAAAACUGCAGUCUACCAAAGCGUGUCAAAAAAGCCUAUACUAAAUGAGCUAAGGGGUGUAGAGUUGUAUUCAAUCCAUUUAAAGGAAUGAAGAAAUAUUUUCACAUUUAUUUAUGUCAAGCAAAGUAACAAAUUCAAGCAAACAAGAGUCAAGCAAUAAAGUCUUGUGAAUAUUAUUCAACAAUAAAUAAUUUAGACUAUUUAUGUAAGUAUUAUGUAAAUUGUGCAGAUUGUUCGUGCAGAUUUUUUGUCACUUGACUAUUUGAUGUUUAUUUGAUGUGUUUAGUUCAUUGAGAUUUGAAAUCAAUGUUUUUCAGGUCUACUAAGAUGUUCCCUGUUAGAAUUUGAUUGUUCAUCCAAACCAAAGAUCGGAUUCAGGACAAGUAACACAAUGAAUACACAGCGUCACCAAAGCUCACUAGGUAUAAAACACAAAUGCAGCAUUAUCUCACGGUUAACGAUCAUUGUUUUUAUUUGCAGAGAUCCAGAAUUUCUUCCGCCGUGGUUCUAAGGAGCCUGUGCUCCGUUCCAUAUCUAAGAAACAAAUACAUCCUGAAAAGGCUGAGGUAAAAUGUUCAGAUGCUCCUGAACCCCCGAAGGACGCUCUUCUUCAGCUGGUUUCUCUCCAGAAGGCGUCCGGCUGCUGGGAUCUGGACGACGCUCUGGCUGAUGUGUUUGGGAAGACGGAGGAUGAGCUGACCGAUCAGAAACCAGCACAGGUGAGAGAUGUG